rnacentral:lncRNA from 1 species
GUACUACUCAACAUAUUGGACCUCAGUGUGGACAGGUGAAUGAAGGACAUGUGGAGAAUUCCAUUUCCAACUCCAUGUGCAUGAAUUAUUUGCCCUGGUUGUUCAUCUGUCAUAGUGUAAAAAGCCUGAUUUACAAAGACUGGAGGCCUUUCGCAGAACAAGAUAACUUCCAAUUUAAGGAGAUAUAGGACAAGGCAAGAAGGGUGGAAGAAGGCAUAAGAGAUCCUCACGUGGCAUUAUCAGGAU